UACAGAGGUCUCAAGCGUUGUUCGGAUUCAUUGGGCGUAAAGGGUGCGUAGGCGGCGCGGUAAGUCGGGUGUGAAAUCUCGGGGCUUAACUCCGAAACUGCAUUCGAUACUGCCGUGCUUGAGGACUGGAGAGGAGACUGGAAUUUACGGUGUAGCGGUGAAAUGCGUAGAUGUCGUAAGGAAGACCAGUGGCGAAGGCGGGUCUCUGGACAGUUCCUGACGCUGAGGAACGAAGGUCAGGGGAGCAAACGGG
rnacentral:rRNA from 1 species